AGGCAUCGGCGGUGGGGGAAGAGGGCACAGGAACCCCGAACCAGCCCAUGCAGGAGGCCAAGGGCCAAGGGGCGGGGCCAGAAACAUUGCUCAACGAGGCUCCGCAGGACAGAGCGACAAGGACAAGGAAACGCGCAAAGACUGACAUCAAAGGUUCACAUUCCAAACGGACCGAGAAAGGAACAGUGCUGCUGCCGAUGUUGACGGCGGAGUCCAGCUGGAAGCGCUCUAUUCUGGACAGAGCUCACUGGGGGCAGCCGUAACAACACUUAUGUAGCCAGAGGAAAACCCGGACGGGAGAACGGGCGAGAGGUCGUGGCUGGAGGAAGACCUGAGGGCUGUCGUCGGACCUACGGGAAAACGGGAUCCAUGCGGGGCUGUGCCUGCAGCACAUGGAGGGCUAGGGUUCAAAUCAGAGCUGGAGCUGCCAACCUAUACCACAACCACAGCAACUUGGGAUCCGAGCCGCACCUGCGGCCUACACCACGGCUCAUGGCAACGCCAGAUCCUUAACCCACUGGGUGAGGCCUGGGAUCGAACCCGAGUUCUCAUGGACACUAGUCGGGUUUGUUACUCCUGAGCCGUGGCUCCCACAACAAAUCUCUACAAAAGUACUGUCCCCAAAUCUUUCAGCCAUUUCUGAUCAUUGGGAAUCCCCUCCAUUCAGUGUUGUUUCCAGAUCAUCACCGAGCAGCUCAAGGAAGCAGUGACCAGGGGCUGGGCAGGUACUGAGGGGGUCAGGGAGGGGUCUGGGGGGGCAAGCGUAGGCCUCAUUGAAUUUUUCUAUCUUUUAGAAAUGGGUUAUAAAGUCCCAGUCACAACUAAAAAUCUGAUAGGUCUUUUCCCUUUCAGGCAAAAAGGAAGCAGUUAUUCUCCAAUGCCUCUUACCAAGUCACGUGUUUCACGUAACCCUUACCCAUCCCACCCCCAGCCCAUAACUAAUUUGUCUUUUGAGCUUAGCGUCUCCUUCCGAAACGUUUGGCACACUCAGCAUCAAAACUGAAAACCCUCCUUCCGCUCUUCCGUGCUGGUGUUCCUGUGACUACGGGCCACGGCCAACUCUCUUACACCAACAAAUCACGCACCUUCUGUUCCUCUGUGUUACUCCUGUUACUCUGGAUAAACUCUAGUACUGUAUGUCCCCUCAACAGACACGCUGGGGUCUUUACCCCCAGUACCUGUGAAGGUGGCCUCAUUUGGAAACAGGAUCUUCGCAGGUGUAAUCAGGUUAAGACGAGGCUGUUAAGGUGAGUUCUGAGCCAGUAUGAUUGACAUCCUUGUAAGAAGAGGAGAACAGACACAGGCACAUAAAGAGCUCCACGUAAGGACACGGGGAGAGCGAUGCAGCUGCGAGCCAGGGAGGGCUGAGGAUGGCUGGGGCCACCCGAAGCCAGGCGCAGGCGAGGAAGGGCGGCCCCUGAAGUCCCAGCCGAGCAUGGCCCUGCUGCCGUUUUGCUUUCAGACUUGUGGGCUCCGCAACUGUGAGAGAAUAGCUAUCUGUCGUUUUAGGUCACCUAGUCUGUGGUACUUUGUAAUAGUGGCCCGAGGAAACGAACGCACUUUGUGAUAUAAUUCAGGAUGCAGUUCAUUGGGAAAAACGUGCUCGUACUGAAGCUGUGAUAAAGUAUUUACAACAGUCACAGGUCAUGCCGGCCAAACGGCAGACUGCCCCCGACAGCCUGCCUCUGCCGCAUCGCCUCCAGGCUGAAAGGCAACAGAAGCAUCCUUAGCCCACGGCCCCAUCUCACUUCCAAGUCCUGUCCUGUGGGGGCACGGGGGGGAGUGUUGAACACCUCCUCUCUUUACGCCAGUGUAUUUGCUCUUCAUGCUCAGCAUGUGACUCUGAAGCAGCACAAUCUCUCUGGAAAGCAGGGAAAAGCUCAGUGCCUCCCUGCUAGCCACAGCAAGUUAAGGAGCCCUGGCUGGCACUUGCCCUGUCUAGACCUCAGCUUCUUGCCUUGGAACAGAGAAACCAGGACAAGGGGGCCGCCUUGUGCAUCCUGCUCUCAGCGUACCACCUGUCGCUGCCUUGGGUCCUCAUGUUUAUGUAUUUCUUUGAACAUUUCUCUCCAAAGCUGUUAUCUACCUGCAAAGAAAACUUUGUGAAGACACCACAGAGACCCAGCAAUGCCCAGGAGGCCCAAUGCAUGGAACCCUGUCCCCUGGGUUCUUUUCAGAGACAGAAUCCCUUCCUUCCCCCUCUUCAAAGCACAGCAAUACAUCCUUCUUACGUGACUUAAAUGGCGACUGCUGUUUACAACCGUAACUCUGCAUUACAGCUCCUUUGCUCCUUGGAGAAUUUUUUCAUUACUCUCGGUUGCCUUUAACUGACAGGUGACGAAACUCAACUAGCGAUGGAUGUGGGAAGCCCGCCCGAUGGUGGGAGGGGGUGGGAAGAUGCGAGGAGGAAAGGGGGAAAGGCAGGCAGGGAUGCUGGGAGGGAGGAAGGGCGAGGAGGGGGAAGGAGAAAGAAACAAAAGAAGGGAGAAAGGUGAGAAGCCAGAACACCUGCUAGCACAAGUGAAAUGAUAUUGUAAGCACACGCAGGAUGAUAAAGUAACACUGGGAUGGGUUCUGUAAACUACAAAGCACGAUAUAAACAAAGAGCAGUACUGUAUAUUAAAUAUACCAUAUUUAAGGA